GGUCCCUGUAGCGCAAUUGAUACUGUGUGCAUUGGACUUCUAUUCCAAAGGUCGUGGGUUUGAAUUACACCUAGGAUCG